GGGGGUGGGGUGCUGGAUAGAAGGGUGGGGUAGCAUGAUACUGAGCGACUCCUGAAUAGAAUUACUGCAGAUGGAACUGUAGCAGGCAGGGGAGUGGGAGCAAGAAUAGAGAAACUUACCUUCAGACAUGUUUUCAAACUCUGAUCUUCAGUAGCCUUAAAAGUGAAAAAAGGGUCUCAAUUUUAACGUCUUUCUCUUUUUGUCUCUCUAUUUAUUUGAAAGGCAGAGUUGGAGGAAGAAACGGGGAGAGCUACCUUCCAUCCUCUGGUUCACUCCACACUUGGCCACAAUGACCAGGGCUGUGCCAGGCUAAAGCCAGAAGCCUGGAACUGCAUCUUGGUCUUUUCCCAUGGGUGCAAGGGCCUUAGUACCUAGGCCAUCUUCCACUGCUUUCCCAGGCACUUUUGCAGGGAGCUGGAUCAGAAUUGGAGCAGCUGGGAAGUCUAGCCAGCACUUACAUGGGAUGCCAGUGUUAACAGGUGCCCUGAGCCACAACUCCAGGCUCCUUGUUUCUCUUUUUAUAAAUGAAGUUAAGCAUUUGCAUUUGUUUGUGUGACCUACCUGUUUCAAUUAAUUAAUAUUUUUUUCCUCUUGUGUGACUUUUUUCUUUUGAUUUGCAAGAAUCAUUUUUAUAAAUUUAUGAAGUAGCCCUUUGUGCUGUUUACAAAUACCAUCCCACCUAUUUGGAAGGAUAUUUUUUUCUUGAAACCUUGUUGAUGAGUUUUUGUACAAUUCAGAAUUUGUUUUAAAUUUAUAUUAUUAAAUUUAUCAGUGUUUUUUGUAAUGCCAAAGUUUGUUUCAUACUCAGGCUUUCACUCUAACAUCAUUAAAAAUUGUAUCUUUUGCUAGUACUUUUAUGAUUUUACUAGCAUUUAAGGCUGUAACUCGUCUGGGUAUUAGAUGCUGCUUGAAGUGAUGGCUUUGUUGAAAGGAUGCUCUGGGAAGUCAGGUUGCAGCUGCGAGUCUCAGUGCUCCCCAGAGCUGGGACAAACAGCAAGGCUCUGGAAGAGCUAUGACAAAGGGCGCUGGCGUGGUAACAGCCAUCCACCUUUUCUCAGCCUUCUCACAGUUAUCCUCCUGUGGGAGGAUGUGAUUGGCCAUUGCUGGUGUAGGUCAGGGCAGUAGUUUCUUUCUUUCUUUCUUUCUUUCUUUCUUUCUUUCUUUCUUUCUUUCUUUCUUUCUUUCUUUCUUUCUUUCUUUCUUUCUUUCUUUUUUUUUUUAAAGAUUUAUUUUAUUUAUUGAAAGAGUUGCAGAGAGAGAGAGAGAGAGAGAGAGAGAGAGAGAGAGAGGUCUUCCAUCUACUGGUUCACUCCCCAAAUGGCCAAAAUGGCCAGAGCUUGCCAGGAGCUUAUUCUGGAUCUUCCACAUGGGUGUGGGGCCCAAGGACUUGGGCCAUCUUCUACUGAUUUUCCAGGCCAAUAGCAGAGAGAUGGAUUGGCAGUGGAACACCUGGGACUCGAGCCAGCGCCCAUAUGGGACUCUGACACUGCAGGCCAGGGCUUUAACCCGCUGUGCCACAGCGCCAGCCAAAGGCAGUAGUUUUCAAACUUCAGAAUUAUAUCAAAUUCACCUAAAUGACUACUGCUACUACUUUUUUUUUUUUUUAAGAUUUAUUUAUUUAUUUAUUUGAAAGUCAGAGAGAGGGACAGAGAGAUCAGUCUUCUAACCACUGGUCUACUCUCUAAAUGGCCACAAUGGCCAGGGCUAGGCCAGGCCGAAGUCAGGAGCCAAGAGCCCCCUCCAGAUCUCCCAUGCAGGAGCUCAAGCGUUUGGACCAUCUUUCACCACUUUUCCCAGGCCACCAGCAGGUGGCUGGAUUGGAAGUGGAGCAGCUGGGAUCCGAACCCACGCCCAUAUGGGAUGCUGGCAUUGCAGGCAGUGGCUUUACCUGCUAUACCAUAGCACCAGCCCCCUGGAUGGCUUCUUAAAACACAGACUGCUGAGUCCCGUCUCCGGAGUUUAAUUCUUGCUGUCUAGAGUAGAGCCUGAGAAUGUUCAUUUUAGCAAGUUCCAAAUGAUGCUGAUGGUCUGACAACACUUUGUUCUAGGAGUUCCAGGCUGAAGCUCUGGAAUCAAGAUUUGUGUUCAUAUCCUUGUUCUAGUAUUUAUCAACUCUGUGAUUUGGUGUACUUUCUGAGUGUGCUUCCCCUCUUCCCCUCGCCACAGUUUAUUUCCUUGAACUCGGGAUUUGUAGUUCUUUGAAUCACUGUGAGGACAAAGAGUGGUUUUGAGAUAGUACAUACCUGAGUCCUUGUGUAAUACUGCUUUUAUUGAGUUCUCUUUUUGGUCAGAAUGCCUAAAGUGUCCAGUAAAAAUGUAUGUGCAACGUAUAAUUUAAGAAUUUGUGGUGACCGCAUUAAUAAAAGUAAGCAUUUGGCUUACUAGUUAGGGUACUGGCCUCCCACAUCGUUGUACCUGGGUUUAAUUCCUAGCUCUGGCUCCCGACUCCAGCUUCCGGUUCAUGCAUACACUGAGAGGCAGUGGUGAUGGCUCAAGUAAUUGGGUUCCUGCCAACCAUGUGGGAGACCAGGACUGAAUUCCUGGCUCCUGGCUUUAACCCUGCUCAGCCUUGGCUAUUGUGGGUGUUUUGGGGUUGAAUUAGUGGGUGGGAGCUCUGUCAAAUAAGUAAGUAAGUAAAAACAGAAUAAGUUGAAAUUUAGUAAUUUUAACCCAACAUUUGUGAAUGAUUAUUUCAAUAUUUGAUCAAAAUAAAAUUGAGAUUUUAAAUGGUGUUUUCUUCCUGUCAAGUCUUUUAACUUAGUGUACAUUUCAAUUCAGAGUAGUUAAAUUUCAAGCAUUUAAUAGCCCACUUACUGUAGCCAGUGACUACUCUUUCAGAUGGUGCCAGUCUACCCAGCACUCUUCACCCUGUCCUCUUGACCACCCCCAUGUGUUAAACCUUUGGGUAAUGAUUCUUGGUCUAAUUAGUUAUAAACACGGAAAUCAGCUUGUUUCACUUAAUGCAGAAAGAAUGACCCUUAAGGAAUUCUUGAGCUGAUUUUAGGCUUGUCUGUCUCUUAAAAGUUCUGUCAGUGACAAGAGUUUGUGUUCUUGGGAGUCAGCUCUGCCAAGGAUGCCAUGCCACUUACAACCCAACGUCCCCCCCCCCCUUUUUUUUUUGACAGGCAGAGUUAGAUAGAGACAGAGAGAAAGGUCUUCCUUUUUCCAUUGGUUCACCCCCCAAGUGGCCGCUAUGGCUGGUGCGUUGCGCCGAUCCGAAGCCAGGAGCCAGAUGCUUCCUCCUGGUCUUCCAUGCGGGCGCAGGGCCCAAGGACCUAGGCCACCCUCCACUGCCCUCCCGGGCCACAGUAGAGAGCUGGACUGGAAGAGGAGCAACCGGGACAGAAUCCGGCGCCCCAACCGGAACUAGAAGCUGGGGUGCCGGCACCACAGGCAGAGGAUUAGCCUAGUGAGCUGCGGCGGCUGGCCCCCAAUGUCCUUUGAAAGAUUUCCUUUAAGUUCUCUAGGCUUGAGUAGUUCCCACUGGAAGAGGAGUGCUGGAAACUCCCAGGAGUAUAAGGAAUAUCACUGUCUGAUUCUUAAAAGUUAAUCAUUCUCGAUAUCGUUAGUUUCCAGAAUUCAGCCUCUGACUCACUGGAGAAGUAUUUUCCUUCUAUGUGUCUGUGGACUCUUUUGUGAUGGAGUCUCCUUUCAGGCCUUGCAAUUACUUUUUUUUUUUUUUUUUUUUGAAGAUUUUAUUUAUUUAUUGGAGAGGUAGAGUUACAAAGAGGCAGAGACAGAGAGAAAGGUCUUCAUCUGCUGGUUCACUCCCUGGAUGGCUGCAAUGGCUGGAGCUGAGCUGAUCUGAAGCCAGGAGCCAAGAACUUCUUCUGGGUCUCCCAUGUGGGUGCAAGAGCCCAAGCACUUGGGCCAUCUUCCACUGGCCUUCCCAGGCCAUAGCAGAGAGCUGGAUUGGAACAGGAGCUGCUGGGACUCGAACCAGCACCCAUAUUGUGGUACCACAGGCAGAGGAUUAACCUACUGUGCCACAGUGCCAGCCCUUUACAGUUACUUUUUGACAAAUAGGCUUCUCCAAACAGCUCCUGUGCCAGUUGUUUGUUACCACUUUGUUUCAGUGUAACCAUGCCUGGUCAUUGCAACGAUGUAAUUUUAAAUAGGGAAAAAGUUUCACAUACCCCUAUUUCACUGGGCCAUAACAUAAUUUUAAAGGUAUGUGGUGUGCUUUCGUCUUCUAUAAGCAUUUAACAAAUCUAUGAGUACCCACUAUCUGCCUGGCAUUCUUUUUUUUUUUUUUUUAAAAGAUUUAUUUAUUUAUUUGAAAGUAUACAUAAAAAGAGAGAACUUCCAUCCGCUGGUUCACUCCCCAAUUGGCCGCAAUGGUUGGAGCGGCGGCAGUCUUAAGGCAGGAGCCAGGAGCUUCCACUGGGUCUCCCAUGCGGGUACAGGGGCCCAAAACUUGGACCAUCUUCUGCUGCUUUCCCAGGCCAUAGCAGAGAGCUGGAUUGGAAGUGGAGCAUCUGGGACUGGAACUGGCACCCAUAUGGGAUGCUGGCACUGCAGGCGGUGGCUUUACCCUCUACACCACAGCGCCUGCCCCAGUAAUUUUCUUAUUCUUUUUUUUUUUUUAAAGAUUUAUUUUAUUUAUUUGAAAGAGUUACAGAGAGAGGUAGAAACAGAGAGAGAGAGAGAGAGAGGUCUUCCAUCUGCUGGUUCACUCCCCAGAUGGCCACAACGGCCGGAGUUGUGCUGAUCUGAAGCCAGGAGCUUCUUCCGGGUCUUCCACGUGGGUGCAGGGGCCCAAGGACUUGGGCUGUCUUCUACUGCUUUCACAGGCCGUAGCAGAGAGCUGGAUUGGAAGAGGAGCAGCCAGGACUAGAAGCAGUGCCCAUAUGGAAUGCUGGCGCCUUAGGUGGAGGAAUAACUACUGUGUCUCGAUGCCGGCCCCAUCUUUAUAGAUCUCUGUUGGAGUUUCAUGUUUUUUGGAUUGUUCUCAAUCUUUUGAUUUUUACUUAGAGAAAGAAAGCAACUUAAUAAACUCACACCAGAAAGAUUUUUGGUUAUUAAGUUUCUUAUAUUUGUUCUGUAUUCUUUUUCUGCUUAACAUUGGAAUAUAGACAUAGAAAUGUUAAUUUUCUUGCCUGUGAUGACCAACAAUGUUUGAAAACUCCUUUAAACUAAUGAAUGAGCACUGUAAUUUGCCUUUUUUAGAAAGUGUUUUACUACUCUUACUUGUUUUCUUUAAAUUGAUUGGGGUUAUUAUUUUUACUUAUGUAAUAAGGUUUGGGAACUAUGUUGUUUCUUAGACUAGGCUUUUAAAUUCACUCACCCUUGAAGGUCCAUCUUUUGAAUUUAUAUUUCUAGGCAGUAUUUCCUGUGCUUAGGAAUAAAAGACUUUUAUAUUUGUGCUGCCUAUCAUGUAUAAUUUAUCAUCUUUUGCUGCUGAGAGAAAUGUAAUGAUGAUGUGGGUGGUUGGAGACAAAGCACAGUACUACAGUGGGUAGGAAGAGGGGAGCCCUCAUUUUAAACUCUGUAGUUUAAAAGGGUUUAAGCCUAUAGAAAAGUUAAAGCACUAGAACAGUGAAUACUUAUAUAUCCUUCAUUUAGAUGGAAUAUGUAUUAGCAUUUUGUGACGUAUAUUUUUCCUCACUUCUUCCUCUUUUAUUUUUUAAAAUUUUAUUUAUUUGAGAGACAGAGAGGCACAGACAGAAAAUCAAUAUGGCUCCUGUUUGUUGAUUCACCCCCUAAAUGCCCACAGUGGCCAAGAUUAGGUUGAGCUGAAGCCAGGAGCUGGGAACUCAGUCCAGGCUUCCCACGUGGGUGGCAGGUGCUUAACCACUUGAGUCAUCACCUGCCUCCUCCUUGGGUGGGCAUUAGCAGGAAGCUGGAAUUGAAGUGGAGGUGUGACUUGGACUCGGGUACUCCUGUAUGAGACGUGGGCACUGUGAUUCAGUGUCCACUCUUUACUUUUUGUAGUUUUACAUAUACUUAUUAGAACUUUAUAGUUUACAGAAUAAGUUCAUGGGUUAUAUGCAUAGGUUUUUGCUUUGACUAGGAAAAAAAUCAUGAUAUCGUGAUUAUAAUGUUAUGAUUGCAGAAACAGAGUAGAGAUUAUUUUCAGAUGUUAUGAUCUCAAAGAUGGAGUUUAAGGUAAUUGGAAGACCCUGAAAGUGUCUCCAGAGGACAGGUGGCUAGCUUCCCUUCUCAUACUGGACCAAAGGACUGAGAAAUCAUUUAGUCUUUCAUUUUAGUUUUCUUACUGAAAUACAACCAAAUUAGGUAGACCACCUAAUAUCUGGGAAUGGAAAUAUUUAUGAGGCAGGCUCAUAGCAGUUCCUAAGUGUACACUUCUUUGAUAGAGUGACAAUGCUUGUCCCAACCUCAGACAUUACUUUUCCCCCAAGAAAUUGCCUGCCAUCACCUCCCUUGCAGUAGAAUGACUAAUUAUGAGCUGGAGCUUUAACAGUUUCAUUAUUUUGACACUGUGUACUUGGCAGGGUAUAGGUACUUUACUUCUUCAGGUGUCCAUAUUUAUCAAAUGCAAUGUAGGUGCCUUUAUAAUAUUGAAUAUGUGACCUGUAACUCUUGUAAUUUCUGUCAAUAAAGCACAGGUGCUUAGUUAGAAGUCAGACUGGUUUUAGCAGUUUGUUACAUGUUGAAGCUUACUAGAGUAAUUUGAAGCAGUGAAGAUUUGCCAAGAACACAGGGCCAGAGUUUUGCAGAUGCUGUUCUGUGCUUUGCAGGAGUUCAUCUUUAGUGAACUGCUUUACCUGUGUAAAGCAGGUGCCCCCAAGUUUCUGGUGUACAGUACAGAUCAGCUCAAAUGUUUGUUUCUUAUCUCAAAGAGAAAGAGAAGGGGGUGAUCCUAAGUGAUUGUAUGGUUCUAACUGCCUUUGUUGUUGGCAGUGGUAGCACUUGAACAGACUCUUUGAAUGUGAGGGUGAAUGAAUGGGAGAGUGAAAGGCAAGGGUAGAAACAGGGAGGUGACAGGAUCCUAAUGCUGGGAGGUACCUGUGUGAUGAUAUUAGUUCUGUGGAUGCAGUGCGCUGUGUCAUGGGCAGAAAGGCAGCUGUUGACUCCUGGCAGGUCCUGUUAACCAGAUUUUUCUUUCCUUUUGAGGUUGUUUCCUCCCUCUCAUCCUCUUCCUCUUUCUCCCUCCUUCCUCCUCCCCACUUUUCUUCUUUCGUCUUCCUCCCUUCUUCUACCUCUUCCUCCUCUUCCUUCUCUUCUUCCUCCUCUUCCACCUGUUCUACAAGUUAAGAAAAAGCUAUGUUGGGUGUUAGUCCUAUUCAUAAUUGUAGGGGCAGAUAUUUUGAGAGAACCUACUAUCUCUAAACAUUAAAUUCUCAACCUUGGGUUUCCUUUACCAACCACAAUAUGUAUUAAUGCAGUGAAUUCCAAGUAGCCCAAUCUGUUGAUUUCUUGUGCACGUUGUGUUGGGUUUCUGUUAAUGAAACAGGAAUUUGCCUUUGGAAAAUUGCAUUAUAAAUGUGCAGUGAUAAUUAUUCCUUAGUGUUGCACAGUUUAAUUCUGCAGUGGGAAUAAAACAAGUUUAAAGAAUUCAAGUUGAUAAAUACUUAUUGACAGUUGACUAUAUAUGUUGUGUAGCAUGCCUGAUGCUGGGGAAUGCAAAAGGAAGAAAGCAGGACCUCUUUCUUGAGUGAAAUUUUAUUUUUUCAAAUGCCUUUUAAUGAGCACAAAAAGUAAAACAAGUUAAAUGAGUAAAAACUGUAUUUGAAAUGCAAAAGUCGUUAGAUGACUUUCUAAAGGAUUAUCCUCAAUUUAAGGGCCAUUACAAUAAAAAUUAAUUUUAAGGUCAUAUUUUUAAAAGUGGUAGUUUUGCCAUCACCAUACAAAUUAUGUGCUGGUUUAAGGUUGUAUUGGUAGUCCUCAGAGUGUAUUUCUUUAGCAUUAUUACCUGAUCCACACAUGAGUGGCAUAAUGUCUGGUUGUAAACGUGUGAACUCUUUAUGAGAAAAAAGUUGGGCAAAACCAAGUUGGUUGACGUUUAACAAAAUACAUGACCAGGAUUCUUGGCUCUCAAGGUCAUCAGAAACAGGGAACAUCUGAGGAAAUGGUACUGCUAAGAGUGGGCUAAGGAGACAGGACAAGUCAAUGUGAUAUGGUGUCUUGGGUGGAAUUCUGGGACAGAAAAGUAGAUUAGGUGAAAACUCAGGAAAUCUGAAUGAAGUGUGGAGUUUAGUUAUAGUAUAUCCAUAUUGAUUCAUUAAAUCUAACAAAUGUGGGGCUGGCCUUGUGGCACAGUGGGUUAAGUUGCCACUUGUGACACUGGCAUUCCAUAUAAGAGCAUCAGUUUGAGUACUGACUGCUUUGCUUCUGAUCCAGCUCUCUGCUAAUGUGCCCGGGAAAGCAGCAGAAGAUGGCACAAGUGUUUUGACACCCUACAACCCAAGUGGGAAACAUCCAGAUGGAGUUCUGGGCUCCUGGUUUUGGUUUUGGCUUUGACUUUUAAGUAAUGAACCUUCCUCUGAUGCAUUGAAUAAAGUUCAAAGUUGGCUCUAAUUACCCUUGAAAGAGAAUGCAAGGUAAUUUAGAAAUGCAAGAAUAUUUGUAUAUGCUUUUGCAAAGGGGACUUUUUCUGUUUUAGUCUCCAAAAUAAACUCUGAGCCUCUGAGCGUUAGUGUGGAAAACAUUCUGACUCAUUUUUAUUCAUUUUUCUUAAAUAAAUCAUACUCUCUUGAUCUCACUUAGGAUAGUUCCAACUUCCAAGUUAAAUAACAUUCUUAAUCUCUUAGAAGUGAAGUUCAGUUAUUUCUGAAACUGUUCUCUUUUUCACAAGUCCAUUUCUGCUAGUGGUUAACCUUCUGGAAGGCACAAGUUGCCCCUGAAACUACAGUUAGGUCUGAGAACUGAGGGCUAAUGCAAAUGUGUUGAGACAAUCUGUGUUUUGUUAUAAAUGAUAUCCAUCCUGAUGUUCUUUUCUGCUCGAUUUAUUUUGUGUCCUUAGGAUAUUACCACAGAACACAGCAAUGUAAACCAUAUUCGAAUCUUAUCUUUUAGUGACUUUUGGCCAGAGGUUGAGUGCUCUAGGUUUUAAAGUAUGGAAUUACUUGUUCAUCCAUAAAAUCAGAGGGUUGAGGAGGCUGGUGCUGUGGCACAGUGGGUUCAAGCCCUGACCUGAAGUGCUGGCAUCCAUAUGGGUGUCGGUUCUAGUCCUGGCUGCUCCUUUUCCCAUCCAGCUCUCUGCUAUGGCCUGGGAAAGCAGUAGAAGACGGCCCAAGUCUUUGGGCCCCUGCACCCACCUGAGAGACCUGGAAAGAAGCUCUUGGCUCCUGGCUUCGAAUCAGCGCAGCUCUGGCCAUUGCGGCCAUCUGGGGAGCGAACCAGCAGAUGGAAGACCUCUCUCUCUGUCUCUACCUCUCUCUGUAACUCUGUCUUUCAAAUAAAUCUUUAAAAAAAAUUAUAGGGUUGAUAUUAACACAUGUUCUUUUUCAACCAUUAGCAUAUUAACAUCUUUCCAUGAACAUAUUUAAACAUACUAUAUUUAUAUGAUGUAAUUGGUAUAGCAGAGUAUCUGGUUUUAGGGUGGGCAUUUAGCCUAUAAGUUAACAUGACCACAUCCCAAAUCGGAUAUGGUUCAAACCCCAGCUUCACUUUGAAUUCUAGUUCUCUGCUGAUGUGUACCCUAUGAAGUGGCGGUCAUGGCUCAAGUAAUUGGGUUCCUGGCACUCAUGUGGGAGACCUGGAUUGAGUUCCUGCCUCCCGACAUGGCCAUUGCAGAUACUUGAGGAGUGAACUAGUAGAUGAGAACUCUUUGUCUCUCUGCUUCUCAAAAAAGAAAAAAGAAUAUUAGGAAAUAAGUCUGGUUUAUCCAGUUUUGGGAUACCUUUUUUCAGUAUGACUGGAGGUAAGUAUUUGGUAUAGUUGAGAGGCUAUUUGGGUUGCCCACCUCCAUGUCAGAAUGCCUAUUUUGAGUCCAAGUUCCUCUGUUUCCAGUUUAGCUCCUGACUAAUGUACACCCCAGGAGGCAGGAGGUGAUUGCUCUCAAGUAUGGCUCCUGCCACCCCAUGGGAGACCCUUACUUGGUUUUUGGCUUCUGACUCUGGCAAAUGGCUGUUGCAAGUAUUUGAGGAGUAAGCCAGUAGAUGGAGGGUCUCUGUUACUCUACCUUUCAAAUAAAAUGGAAAAAAGGAAAAAGAACAUGGAUAAACAUGUAUUUGUGCAUUCACAUAGCUCCCAAAAAACUCUGAUGAUAACUUUGUUCUUGGGGCUGAAAACUGGUUGCACUCCACAGUGUUCAGUUGUGAUGGUUCGACUGAAUUUUCCUCUUUUUCUUUUAAUCUAAAAUGUUACAUUAGGCAAAGGUGGAGUUAGUCAUGUACUACCUUUACCUUUCCUUUGGAAUUAUUGUUCAUGUCUUAGCUUUCCCAUUGUUGGAAAUGUAGAUAGAAAUGAUUGACAGGCUUACUGAACUUUCCAGAGCUUAAGAUCAGCUUCUCUAGUCUUUGAUUUGAAGUGACUGAGAUUCUGUUGGGCUGUUUUUUUUUUUUUUUCUUUCCCUGUUUAAAAAUUUGACAUUAAAAUGAAACCGACUAAUUUGAACAAAAGAUGUUUGUGAUAAAAAAAAAAAGUAGUGGCCGGCGCCGUGGCUCACUAGGCUAAUCCUCCGCCUAGCGGUGCCGGCACACCGGGUUCUAGUCCCGGUCGGGGCGCCGGAUUCUGUCCCGGUUGCCCCUCUUCCAGGCCAGCCCUCUGCUGUGGCCAGGGAGUGCAGUGGAGGAUGGCCCAGGUGCUUGGGCCCUGCACCCCAUGGGAGACCAGGAGAAGUACCUGGCUCCUGCCAUCAGAUCAGCGCGGUGCGCCGACCGCGGCGGCCAUUGGAGGGUGAACCAACGGCAAAAGGAAGACCUUUCUCUCUGUUUCUCUCUCUCAUUGUCCACUCUGCCUGUCAAAAAAAAAAAAAAAAAAAAAAAAAGUAGCUUGGUUAUAUUUAAUAAACCAGUUUUAAUAUAAUUGAAAUCAGAUUAUCUGAUUUUGUGUCUUGCAGGUAAUUCAUAGUGAUUGUUCAUUGAAAAAUACUCCUUCCUCUUUUCAUGAGUAAGGUCUUUGAUCUAUAAUUAUCAGUCAAGGAAAACUUGAUCUAAUUUAUUGUAUUACUAGAUGGAUAUGUGUUCUUACCAGUGAAAAUAUAAUCAGUUGUGAACAUUUUAAAUGGAAAAAAAAUCCCCAGAAAAUUUGUUUUAAAGCCAAAAACACAGAAUACUCAAGAGAUAAAAUUUUCUUUAAGAAAGUAAAAUACUGUAUGCUUUCAUGUGCACUAAGUCUAUAUAAACAUAAACUAGGCUUCAUUCAGCAGUGAACACUUGACAGGCUCUAUGCAGACAUGGGAACAGAGAUGAUACUUUCAGAAAACUAAGUUUUGAAUUACACUACUGUAUUUAGCAUAAUGUAUAAUAAUUAUAACAUCUUAUACAUUGUAUUCAGUUAUAAGUGGAAUUAAUGACAUUUAAUAAAUGCAAAAUAACUAUUAAAAUCCAUGCAGAAUCUUUUUAAAAAAAUUUAUUUGAAAGGGCUACAGAGAGUGAGAUAGAGAAAAUCUUCUGUCCACCACUUCACUCCCCAGAUGACUGCUGUAGCCAGGUCUGAGUCAGGUCAAAGCCAGGAGCUUCUUCCAAGCACUUGGGCCAUCUUAUACUGCUUUCCUAGGCCAUAGCAGAGAGCUGGAUAGGAAGUGAAGCAGCCAGGACUCAAACCAGUACUCAUAUGGGAUGCUGACGUCACAGGCAGCAGCUUUACCCACUACACCACAAUGCCUGCCCCUGCAGAGUCUUAACAUUACUAUUUGUGUAUCUUCUACUUUUAGGUUACCCUUCAGUUACUUCUUAAAAUUGUUGAUUCUCUAUAACUGACCAUCCUCUUUUAUAGUCUGAAUGAAAACACUUUUUUCUUUUAAAGAUUUAUUUAUUUAUUUAUUUGUUUUUUGACAGGCAGAGUGGACAGUGAGAGAGAGAGACAGAGAGAAAGGUCUUCCUUUGCCGUUGGUUCACCCUCCAAUGGCCGCCGCGGCUGGCGCGCUGCGGCCGGCGCACCGCGCUGAUCCGAUGGCAGGAACCAGGAGCCAGGAGCCAGGUGCUUUUCCUGGUAAAGUCAGAGUUACACCAAGAGAGAAGGAGAGGCAGAGAGAGAGGAGAUCUUCCAUCACUGGUUCAUUCCCCAGAUGGCUGCAAUGGCUGGAGCUGUGCCAAUCUGAAGCCAGGAGCUUCAUGCGGGUGCAGGGGCUCAAGGACUUGGACCAUCUUCUGCUGCUUUCCCAAGCCAUAGCAGAGAGCUGGAUCAGAAGUUAGAGCAGCCGGUCUGGUACCAGCGCCAUAUGGGAUGCCGGCACUGCAGGUGGAGGCUUUACCUGCUACACCACAGCGCUGGCCCCAUACACUAAUUUAUGGUUUUAGGACUCUGCAUUUGAGUGACAACUCAUUUUUCUCCUUCCAAGCUUUCCUCAUGAGUUUGUCAUAUGCUGUGUUAGACUGAGGCUCAGGCUCCUCAUCCUGCACUAGAUCAGCUUUCUAGUUCUCACAGUGGUCCCUUGGAGAGAUUCUGGGUUCCUGUGUUGUAAAAAUUUAAUGACAUGGAAUUGGGUAUACAAGACAAAGAGAGGCUGUGGCAGAACUUCAAAUGCGUAUACUAGAACUUGGAUAUACUCAGACUCGAAAACUUGUGUGCCUUGAACCUGAUUUUUGAUAGUAGUUACCCCUUGGGAAUUAUGUUCCAAGUCCCCAGUGUAUGCCUGAAAUUAUGGAUGGUGUUUUUUCCUUUUCCUUAGACUUAUUUAUUUGAAAGGCAGAGUUACAGAGAGAGACGGAAAGGCAUCUUCCAUCUGCUGGUUCACUCCCCAUAUGAACACAAACACUGAGAUAAACUUACAGUUGAUCUGAUAGCUUAGAUGGCUACUGAGUGAUUAAUGGGUUGGUAGUGUAUACAGUUGUCCCCUACUAUUUGGGGAGUUGGGUACAGAACCUCCUCUUGUACCAAAAUUUGUGGGUACUCAAGUCUCUUAUAUAAAAUGGCAUAGUGUUUGUAUAUAACCUAUGCAUAUGCUCCCAUAUACUUCAAAUAAUCCUCUGGUUACUUAAAGUAUCUAAUAUAAUGUAGAUGAUAUGUAAGUAGUUACUAUAUUGUAGUGCUUAGGGAAUAAUGACAGGAGCAACGUCUAUACAUGUGCAGUACAGACAUAAUUUUAAAAAAUUUUUGUUUGACUUGAUCUACUGAUUCACUUCCUGACUGUCUGCAACAGCUGAUGCUAGGCCAUGUUGAAGCCAGGAGCCUGCAACUCAAUCUGAGUCUCCCACAUGAGUGGCAGGGACUCAGGUGCUUUGGGCCGUCACCUACUACCUUGCAGGGUGUAUAUUAGCAGGAAGCCAGAAUCAGAAGUAGAUCCAGGACUUGACCAGACAUCCCAUGUGGGAUGAAGGCAUCCUAAGUGAUGACUGAACUGCUGUGUCAAACACUUACCUCCUGACAUUUUAAAAAAGAUGUUUUGAUCCAUGGUUCUUCGAAUCCACAGAUGUGUGUACUGCUGCCCUGGGCCAGCUGUACUUUGUGGAUGUGCUAGACGAUGUUAUGAGAGUUUAUGAUGCUACUCAGAAUGGCUUGCAGUUUAAAACUUGAGAAUUGUUUAUUUCUGGAGUUUUGCAUUUAGUGUUUUUGGACUAUGACCUCAGGUAACUGAAACCAUGCCAUGCAAAAGAGGACUCUCAGCUCCAGCACAUCAGCUCACAGCAUUAUUUUGCCUGCUCUGGUGAUGUGACCAGUAAUCCUCUUUUGUGAAAUUUUUUAUCCCCUCCUUUUCCUUUUUUAUUUUGUACUUGUUGGGACUGUUUUGGGACAGCAGUGUUUCGAUAAAAACAACGCACUAUUAUAAAUGUACAGGACUUUUUUUAUUAACAAGAAAAAGCAGGUGUUUGUUCAGAUGAUACUAAAUGUCACAAGUUUUUCAUUUGUACUUUUGAUCCUGUCCUUUCUAAAUUUUGAGUAUUUAAAUGUGCACCAUAUAAAUUUUGACAUUUAAACUUAAAAUUUUAGCUCAGUACAUGAUACAAUUGUAGACUGGGGAUACUAUGUAAAAAUGAAAUCCAGAGAUAACUCUCAACGUUUUAACCAUUUACUAUUAUAUAAUUAAGUGUAUUAUCAUUAAUACUAUUUUUAAACAUUUAAUAUUAAAACCAUUGUCUCUGCCUCUGACAUCAGACCGGGUGAGAGAGUGACAGUUAUUUUGUGGGGUGCAAUCAGUAAUCAGCCAGGGCUUGUGUAGACCCUGUAAGGAACAGUCCUCAAUCUGGAAAACCAUUAUGAUCUCUUCCAACUCUAAAAACUGGUGAUUUCCUUGAUGUUACAGAUUUGUUGAUGUAUGUGUGGGUAGUGGAAUACUCAGUGUAUAACAAUAAGUGAUGGGCAAUCUUCAGCGAGAUAAUCAGCUUAUGAAAAAGUAGAGUUGAGGUUUUUAUUUGAGCAGGAUCAAAAAUGAGAGUUUGCUCAACAGAUUUGUGGAGAAUCCAUGAUAAUUUCUUCCGUGCCAUUUCAAAUCCCAGGAGCUCCACAUGGGAUGGUUUUAUUUUGGGCUCUGUUCUGGAUGUAUUCUAUAUAUUUGCUCUCAGUGUAAAUCUAAGCAUGUUUUUAAGAAGAGUAUUAAAGUCUCAAGAGUUGGACUUUAAUAUCUUUACCAAAAGUUGGCAGACAUUGACAGAUGGUUUGAAAGGAUCAUUCUUUACAAUCAAAUUUUAAAUUCCUUUUAGUCCCAGUAUAUAAAAUGAGUAAAGGUGUGCCUUAUUAUAUUGCCACUAAGAAUUAACAGUUGAUUACCACCUCACUUUUUUAGAUCAGAAUCAGUGUUGUAGAAGGAGCUCUUAAAAUUAACAAGUCUCUAUUCUUUCUUCUUUCAGUUUUCAGCUCUUGGGCAAGUUAUUUACUUGAGGGACAGCCUACCUAUUGGCAGGUUGAUAGUAAAAUGAUACACUGUAUAUUAAAAUACUUUGAAAAUAAAAUUUAAAAAAAUCUAUGGCCAUGGUAUUGUUACAAAGUCAUCUUAUGCUUAGGGAGGAAGAAAAGUCCAGUAGUUGAAAAUAAUUUAUUAAACCAGUUUAUUCACUCUUCUGUUUUAGAAUUAACAGAGUUGAGAUCUGCCUCACAUAGCUAUUAAGUUGCAGAUUCAGGACUAUAACCUGUGUCUUCUGGUCAAUGUGAUUACUCUUCUACACACUCAAAAUUAGUUAUGUGCUCUUCCUUGUCUUUCCCUUAAAAGAAAAAAAAUGGAAGUAAGCAAGGAGGAAAGGAAAGUACUGAGAAAAACUGAUUUUAUACCCUUAUAUAUUUUUUAUUCUUAUUUUAAGAACUAUUUUAUUUGAAAGGUUAAAGAGACAGACACUUAUCUCCCAUCCUCUGGUUCAAUCCCAGAUACCUGCAACAGCUGGCACUGAGCCAGGGUGAAGUCAGAAGCUGAGAACUCAGUCCAGGUCUUUCAUGUGGGUGGCAGGGACCCAACUAUUUGAGUUACCAUCUGCUGCCUCAAAAGGUGCAUAUUAACAGGAAGCUGGAAUGGGGAGCAGAACCAGAACUUGAACCCAUGCACUCAGAUAUGGGAUGUGGGCAUCCCAAGUGGUGCCUUAACAAGACGAAAAACAGGUUUCUGGAAUAAGGAUAAUGAAGUCACUGAAGUAAAAAACGAAUCUUAAAUUUUAACAGGCCAGUUUAAUUAAAUUUGGCACUCUGCUCUCUUGUGUUGGAAAUUUCUUUAUCUGUCUCCACCCCUACCCCUGAUUUAUUUGUUUAUUUGAAAGGCAGAGUUACUGAGACAAAGGGGAAGAGGGAGGGAGGGAGGCAGGGAGGCAGGGAGAGAGAUUUCCAUCCACUGGUUCAUUCCCCAGAUGGCUGUAACAGCUGGGGUGGCGGCUUAAUCUCCUGCUCCAUAACGCUGGCACCUUGAAAAUUUCUUAAGGCUGAGGCCAUUUUAGGGUUAUGUAUAGUAUCCAACAGAGGGGCUAGGGUUGUGGCAUAGCUGGUGAGGCUGCCACCUGCAGUGCCAGCAUUAUCAUAUGGGCGCUGGUUCGAGACCUGGCUGCUCUACUUCCAAUCUGGCUCUCUGCUGUGGCAUGGGAAAGCAGUGGAGGAUGGCCCAAGUCUUUGGGCCCCUGUACCAGUUUGGGAGAACUGGAGGAGGUUCUUGGCUCCUGGCUUUGGAUCGAUGUAACUCUGGCCGUUUUGGCCAAUUGGAGGGUGAACCAGCGGAUGGAGGACCUCUCUCUACCUCUGCCUCUUCUCUCUGUGUAACUCUGACUUUCAAAUAAAUAAAUCUUAAAAAAAAAAAAAAAAAA